rnacentral:rRNA from 1 species
UACGUAGGGCGCAAGCGUUAUCCGGAAUUAUUGGGCCUAAAGCAUCCGUAGCCUGUUCUGCAAGUCCUCCGUUAAAUCCCCCCGCUUAACGGAUGGGCUGCGGGGGAUACUGCAGAGCUAGGAGGCGGGAGAGGCAAACGGUACUCAGUGGGUAGGGGUAAAAUCCAUUGAUCUACUGAAGAACACCAGUGGCGAAGGCGGUUUGCCAGAACGAGAUCGACGGUGAGGGAUGAAAGCUGGGGGAGCAAACAGG